CCCUUAGAUGUUCUGGGCCGCACGCGUGCUACACUGAGUAGUUCAAUGGGUAAGGGAACGCUAGAGCAUUACCUAAUCUUGAAAUUUGCUCGUGAUGGGGAUCGACGGUUGCAAUUUUCCGUCGUGAACGAGGAAUACCUUGUAGGCACAUGUCAUCAUCAUGCGCCGAAUACGUCCCUGCCCUUUGUACACACCGCCCGUCGCUCCUACCGAUUGAGUGAUCCGGUGAGGCUCUGGGACCUGGAUGGAAAGAGCGUUUCGCUUGUUCUGUUUGGGAAACUUGGUCGAACCUUAUCAUUUAGAGGAAGGAGAAGUCGUAACA
rnacentral:rRNA from 1 species